rnacentral:rRNA from 1 species
AUUGAACGCUGGCGGCAUGCCUUACACAUGCAAGUCGAACGGCAGCGGACCUUCGGGUGCCGGCGAGUGGCGAACGGGUGAGUAAUGCAUCGGAACGUGCCAUUGAGUGGGGGAUAACGUAGCGAAAGUUGCGCUAAUACCGCAUAUUCUGUGAGCAGGAAAGCAGGGGACCGCAAGGCCUUGCGCUCUUUGAGCGGCCGAUGUCAGAUUAGCUAGUUGGUGAGGUAACGGCUUACCAAGGCGACGAUCUGUAGCGGGUCUGAGAGGAUGAUCCGCCACACUGGAACUGAGACACGGUCCAGACUCCUACGGGAGGCAGCAGUGGGGAAUUUUGGACAAUGGGGGCAACCCUGAUCCAGCCAUGCCGCGUGAGUGAAGAAGGCCUUCGGGUUGUAAAGCUCUUUCGGCCGGGAAGAAAUCGCAUGGGUUAAUACCCUGUGUGGAUGACGGUACCGGCAUAAGAAGCACCGGCUAACUACGUG